UAUAUUAUGUCAUUACCGCAACAUUUGGGCUAAAAUCUAUAAAGCUUUGACAUGUCAAUAUAUCACAAUGACUUGGAAGAACUAUAUAAAUUACCAUAAUCGUGGAACUAUAGCUUAUAUCGUACUCUUCUUUGUAUUAUCUUUGAUAUCAAUAGCACCUCCUGUUUAUGUGACUUUAUAUUUUAAAGGAACAUGUGCAGAAAAUACAUUAACUCACUUCUCUUACCUAAAAAACAAUCUUUCAUAUAAUUCCAAGUUUCACAUGCUUCGGCCUCCAGGGAGAAAUUAUAAGAUGUGAGACCGGAGCAACAAGGGUAUUGUGCGAUUAUCAUUGGAUUCCUCGAUAAUCAGUGUGAAAGUCAUAACGUUGAUAAAGUCAUUGUGGAUUUAAAUUGAUGUAUUAAUGAUGAUCAAUUCGGUUUUGAAGAAAAAGUAAUUACAAGUACCUAUAUCGGAGAUAUCAGCGUAAAUAUCCAGAAAGUUUAACGGAUCUUAAUAUUAACACCUAUUGCUUGCACAUUCUUUGCUGUUAAUAUAUAUGUACAAACUGCAACCUUACAGGUUUU